GACGAACGCUGGCGGCGUGCUUAACACAUGCAAGUCGAACGGAAAGGCCCUGCUUUUGUGGGGUGCUCGAGUGGCGAACGGGUGAGUAACACGUGAGUAACCUGCCCUUGACUUUGGGAUAACUUCAGGAAACUGUGGCUAAUACCGGAUAGGAGCUCCUGCUGCAUGGUGGGGGUUGGAAAGUUUCGGCGGUUGGGGAUGGACUCGCGGCUUAUCAGCUUGUUGGUGGGGUAGUGGCUUACCAAGGCUUUGACGGGUAGCCGGCCUGAGAGGGUGACCGGCCACAUUGGGACUGGGAUACGGCCCAGACUCCUACGGGAGGCAGCAGUGGGGAAUAUUGCACAAUGGGCGGAAGCCUGAUGCAGCAACGCCGCGUGCUGGAUGACGGCCUUAGGGGUGUAAACCGCUUUCGCCUGUGACGAAGCGUGAGUGACGGUAAUGGGUAAAGAAGCACCGGCUAACUACGUG
rnacentral:rRNA from 1 species